rnacentral:rRNA from 1 species
UCGAACGAUGAACCACUUCGGUGGGGAUUAGUGGCGAACGGGUGAGUAACACGUGGGCAAUCUGCCCUGCACUCUGGGACAAGCCCUGGAAACGGGGUCUAAUACCGGAUACUGAUCAUCUUGGGCAUCCAAGGUGUUCGAAAGCUCCGGCGGUGCAGGAUGAGCCCGCGGCCUAUCAGCUUGUUGGUGAGGUAAUGGCUCACCAAGGCGACGACGGGUAGCCGGCCUGAGAGGGCGACCGGCCACACUGGGACUGAGACACGGCCCAGACUCCUACGGGAGGCAGCAGUGGGGAAUAUUGCACAAUGGGCGAAAGCCUGAUGCAGCGACGCCGCGUGAGGGAUGACGGCCUUCGGGUUGUAAACCUCUUUCAGCAGGGAAGAAGCGAAAGUGACGGUACCUGCAGAAGAAGCGCCGGCUAACUACGUGCCAGCAGCCGCGGUAAUACGUAGGGCGCGAGCGUUGUCCGGAAUUAUUGGGCGUAAAGAGCUCGUAGGCGGCUUGUCGCGUCGGUUGUGAAAGCCCGGGGCUUAACCCCGGGUCUGCAGUCGAUACGGGCAGGCUAGAGUUCGGUAGGGGAGAUCGGAAUUCCUGGUGUAGCGGUGAAAUGCGCAGAUAUCAGGAGGAACACCGGUGGCGAAGGCGGAUCUCUGGGCCGAUACUGACGCUGAGGAGCGAAAGCGUGGGGAGCGAACAGGAUU